CGAUGCAAAUUUAAAUUAACCGGGACUUUAAUGACAAUGUGGAACACCCCUCCCAAUCAGAGGCGUAUUCAGAAUUUUAAAAUUAUGGGUGCACUAUUUGAAAGUAGUGAAGGAUUUGUCAUCAUUUGAACUUUCGGAGCUAUUUGUGAACUCACGGAUGGCUGAGUUGUGCUAGAACUUGGCUCAUCAUUUUUCGGCUUGGUGAGAAACAUAUCCAUUUCAAUGUUAAGGAUUAUCGUUCCUACAAGUUAAACAUUUACACUUUUAUUCAAUCUAUCUUAAUUCAAAUAGAAUAAUAUAAUUCAAAUCAUAGAGUAAUUGGAUUUAAAGAACACAAAUCAAUCGAUUACUACAUUAGAUAAGUUUUCUCAUUCAUUUGCUUCAUAGUAUGAUUCUUUUUUUAAUUGUAAGUAAUUACUUCAUUUUUAGAGAAUUAUUAGCAUAAGUUCAAACUCUAGUUCUUAGCAGAGUUCAAUCUUAUGCUAUCUUGGCCUAAAAUACUAAUAAUUAGUCAGAAAUUAAGUUCACAUAGCCCCUACUUAACUAAGCUCGAUCAAGCAUUUUCUCAAAUAUAAUAUGUGGGCAAAUCAAUACUGCCAAUAUUCAAGACUUUAAAGCCAUAGCUCUCCCAAAUUCUCCCAAAAAAUAGCAUUCAAUAGCCCAAUCUUAGAAAUAAACUAUAAUAAUCACCAACAACAAGAGUACAAGACAAAAUCUUGGCAAUAGAUUCAAACAUUGAACAGAACGGAAAAAGACAAUUCGAAAAAUUGCAAGAGCAGAAGAAAGUUCAGCGAGUAAAUUAAAAUACAGAGCAAAAAGAGAGACAGGAUAGUUGCAUACCUAAGAAACUAAAAGCAGAGAGCAAUGAGAAGAAAUUGCGCUCUUGAUUCUUGAAGAAUCAACCGAGGGCGCAGAGAGAUGGAGUAUUCCAAGAGAAAAAGAGAGUAGUUGUAAAAAGGAAAGAAAAAGAUAUAGUAAAAAGGGCC
rnacentral:lncRNA from 1 species